rnacentral:rRNA from 1 species
AUUGAACGCUGGCGGCAUGCCUUACACAUGCAAGUCGAACGGCAGCGCGGGAGCAAUCCUGGCGGCGAGUGGCGAACGGGCGAGUAAUAUAUCGGAACGUGCCCAGUAGUGGGGGAUAGCCCGGCGAAAGCCGGAUUAAUACCGCAUGAGACCUGAGGGUGAAAGCGGGGGAUCGCAAGACCUCGCGCUAUUGGAGCGGCCGAUAUCAGAUUAGCUAGUUGGUGGGGUAAAGGCCUACCAAGGCAACGAUCUGUAGUUGGUCUGAGAGGACGACCAGCCACACUGGGACUGAGACACGGCCCAGACUCCUACGGGAGGCAGCAGUGGGGAAUUUUGGACAAUGGGCGCAAGCCUGAUCCAGCAAUGCCGCGUGCAGGAAGAAGGCCUCGGUUGUAA